rnacentral:rRNA from 1 species
UACGUAGGGACCGAGCGUUGUCCGGAUUCAUUGGGCGUAAAGAGCUCGUAGGCGGCUGUUCAAGUCGAACGUGAAAACUCGGAGCUCAACUCCGAGCCUGCGUUCGAUACUGGACGGCUAGAGUCUGGUAGGGGGAUCUGGAAUUCCUGGUGUAGCGGUGGAAUGCGCAGAUAUCAGGAGGAACACCGGUGGCGAAGGCGGGAUCCUGGGCCAGUACUGACACUGAGGGACGAAAGCUAGGGGAGCGAAUGGG